rnacentral:rRNA from 1 species
CUUUCCUUGAUGACGACUGGCGCACGGGUGAGUAACGCGUAUCCAACCUUCCCAUAACUACGGGAUAACCCGUUGAAAGACGGCCUAAUACCGUAUGAUAUCGUUUGCUGACAUCAAAUAACGAUUAAAGGUUUAGCGGUUAUGGAUGGGGAUGCGUCUGAUUAGCUUGUUGGCGGGGUAACGGCCCACCAAGGCAACGAUCAGUAGGGGUUCUGAGAGGAAGGUCCCCCACAUUGGAACUGAGACACGGUCCAAACUCCUACGGGAGGCAGCAGAC